AGUAUACAAAUUAAAAGAUGAGUCUGCUGCUCCAAUUCGUUUCUUUCAGUGACAUGAAGGGGUCGUUGGUCGGAUUUCACUGAGUAUCAAAACGAAGCUCCAAAAGCAGAAGUUACACGAUGAAGAAUCUGGAGCGAAAGACGAGGAGAUAGAGAGGAAGAUGGAGAUUGGGCAAAGGGUUUAAGCUCAGCUUGGUUGUCUCGAGGAAGAGACUAAGCGCAUUGCCUUGAUCCGUGAGAAGCUUAGCAUGAUAACGAGUAGAAAGAAGUUGCAUUGGUCAGGAAGAAGAUUGAUUUUGUCAACAAAGAAUUCUCAACAAGCCAAUCUGUAAAGCUACCACCACCAGCAAAGAAUCCUCAAGGUUCCAAAAAAGAGGAGAUUGAGUAGCCAAAUCCAGGUUGAAGAGAAAAAUGAUGAAAUCAGACUGUGGUGGAACAUCCUGAGGAAUUAAAACAAAUUGAUAGUAAUCAGAAUAGUAGUUCGGGAGUAAGCUACAAGCAAGCUACUAAAUCUGCGACAGCAAGCUGAGGCUACAUGGCACUUCUUCCCCUCGGCAACAAGGGUCCAAGAAAACCACUAGACGUUACUCGCUACCAUAUUCAGGGAUCCUGUGGAAGCUUUACAAGAAGAGGAACCACGGCCUUCUCUCAACGCCCAUAUCCAAAAUAUUCAACUCAUGCUCUUGAAGAUAGGAGAUCACAAGGUAGCCUUUCAAGCUAGAGAGGAGAAUAGAGUGGCAGACAAAAUUGCAAAGGAAGAUCUCUUUUGAGAAUAAUGCCCCUAUAUUGUAUUUUGUUGCCAAGUUGGUUAAAUGUCUUAGUGAAAAGUGAUAGUGUGUAAAACUAUUUGGUUAAUGAAAAGUAUGAAGGUGGAGCCAAAUAAAAGAAAGUGAUUAAUAUAUUAACAUGUAAAUAUGGAAUAGUGUUAGUUUUGAUGAUAGUUAUGCCAAGUUGAAACAAUA